rnacentral:rRNA from 1 species
AGGACGAACGCUGGCGGCGUGCUUAACACAUGCAAGUCGAGCGGUAAGGCCUUUCGGGGUACACGAGCGGCGAACGGGUGAGUAACACGUGGGUGAUCUGCCCUGCACUUCGGGAUAAGCCUGGGAAACUGGGUCUAAUACCGGAUAUGACCUCCUAUCGCAUGGUGGGUGGUGGAAAGAUUUAUCGGUGCAGGAUGGGCCCGCGGCCUAUCAGCUUGUUGGUGGGGUAAUGGCCUACCAAGGCGACGACGGGUAGCCGACCUGAGAGGGUGACGGCCACGACGUGGACUGAGACACGGCCCAGACUCCUACGGAGGCAGCAGUGGGAACAUUGCACAAUGGGCGAAAGCCUGAUGCAGCGACGCCGCGUGAGGAUGACGGCCGUUCGGGUUGUAACCGUCUUUCAGCGAGGCGAAGCGCAAGUGACGUACGUGAGAGAAGAAGCGACCGGACUAACGUACGUCGCCAGACAG